AGAGUUUGAUCCUGGCUCAGAACGAACGCUGGCGGCGUGGAUAAGACAUGCAAGUCGAACGAGAGAAUUGCUAGCUUGCUAAUAAUUCUCUAGUGGCGCACGGGUGAGUAACACGUGAGUAACCUGCCCCCGAGAGCGGGAUAGCCCUGGGAAACUGGGAUUAAUACCGCAUAGUAUCGAAAGAUUAAAGCAGCAAUGCGCUUGGGGAUGGGCUCGCGGCCUAUUAGUUAGUUGGUGAGGUAACGGCUCACCAAGGCGAUGACGGGUAGCCGGUCUGAGAGGAUGUCCGGCCACACUGGAACUGAGACACGGUCCAGACACCUACGGGUGGCAGCAGUCGAGAAUCAUUCACAAUGGGGGAAACCCUGAUGGUGCGACGCCGCGUGGGGGAAUGAAGGUCUUCGGAUUGUAAACCCCUGUCAUGUGGGAGCAAAUUAAAAAGAUAGUACCACAAGAGGAAGAGACGGCUAACUCUGUGCCAGCAGCCGCGGUAAUACAGAGGUCUCAAGCGUUGUUCGGAAUCACUGGGCGUAAAGCGUGCGUAGGCUGUUUCGUAAGUCGUGUGUGAAAGGCGCGGGCUCAACCCGCGGACGGCACAUGAUACUGCGAGACUAGAGUAAUGGAGGGGGAACCGGAAUUCUCGGUGUAGCAGUGAAAUGCGUAGAUAACGAGAGGAACACUCGUGGCGAAGGCGGGUUCCUGGACAUUAACUGACGCUGAGGCACGAAGGCCAGGGGAGCGAAAGGGAUUAGAUACCCCUGUAGUCCUGGCAGUAAACGGUGCACGCUUGGUGUGCGGGGAAUCGACCCCCUGCGUGCCGGAGCUAACGCGUUAAGCGUGCCGCCUGGGGAGUACGGUCGCAAGAUUAAAACUCAAAGAAAUUGACGGGGACCCGCACAAGCGGUGGAGUAUGUGGCUUAAUUCGAUGCAACGCGAAGAACCUUACCUGGGCUUGACAUGUAAUGAACAACAUGUGAAAGCAUGCGACUCUUCGGAGGCGUUACACAGGUGCUGCAUGGCCGUCGUCAGCUCGUGUCGUGAGAUGUUUGGUUAAGUCCAGCAACGAGCGCAACCCCUGUUGCCAGUUACCAGCACGUGAAGGUGGGGACUCUGGCGAGACUGCCCAGAUCAACUGGGAGGAAGGUGGGGACGACGUCAGGUCAGUAUGGCCCUUAUGCCCAGGGCUGCACACGUACUACAAUGCCCAGUACAGAGGGGGCCGAAGCCGCGAGGCGGAGGAAAUCCUAAAAACUGGGCCCAGUUCGGACUGUAGGCUGCAACCCGCCUACACGAAGCCGGAAUCGCUAGUAAUGGCGCAUCAGCUACGGCGCCGUGAAUACGUUCCCGGGUCUUGUACACACCGCCCGUCACAUCAUGGAAGCCGGUCGCACCCGAAGUAUCUGAAGCCAGCCGCAAGGAGGCAGGGUCCUAAGGUGAGACUGGUAACUGGGAUGAAGUCGUAACAAGGUA
rnacentral:rRNA from 1 species